ACUUAAAUUGAAGAGUUUGAUCAUGGCUCAGAUUGAACGCUGGCGGCAGGCCUAACACAUGCAAGUCGAGCGGUAGCACAGAGAGCUUGCUCUCGGGUGACGAGCGGCGGACGGGUGAGUAAUGUCUGGGAAACUGCCUGAUGGAGGGGGAUAACUACUGGAAACGGUAGCUAAUACCGCAUAACGUCGCAAGACCAAAGUGGGGGACCUUCGGGCCUCAUGCCAUCAGAUGUGCCCAGAUGGGAUUAGCUAGUAGGUGGGGUAACGGCUCACCUAGGCGACGAUCCCUAGCUGGUCUGAGAGGAUGACCAGCCACACUGGAACUGAGACACGGUCCAGACUCCUACGGGAGGCAGCAGUGGGGAAUAUUGCACAAUGGGCGCAAGCCUGAUGCAGCCAUGCCGCGUGUGUGAAGAAGGCCUUCGGGUUGUAAAGCACUUUCAGCGGGGAGGAAGGCGGUGAGGUUAAUAACCUCAUCGAUUGACGUUACCCGCAGAAGAAGCACCGGCUAACUCCGUGCCAGCAGCCGCGGUAAUACGGAGGGUGCAAGCGUUAAUCGGAAUUACUGGGCGUAAAGCGCACGCAGGCGGUCUGUCAAGUCGGAUGUGAAAUCCCCGGGCUCAACCUGGGAACUGCAUUCGAAACUGGCAGGCUAGAGUCUUGUAGAGGGGGGUAGAAUUCCAGGUGUAGCGGUGAAAUGCGUAGAGAUCUGGAGGAAUACCGGUGGCGAAGGCGGCCCCCUGGACAAAAACUGACGCUCAGGUGCGAAAGCGUGGGGAGCAAACAGGAUUAGAUACCCUGGUAGUCCACGCCGUAAACGAUGUCGAUUUGGAGGUUGUGCCCUUGAGGCGUGGCUUCCGGAGCUAACGCGUUAAAUCGACCGCCUGGGGAGUACGGCCGCAAGGUUAAAACUCAAAUGAAUUGACGGGGGCCCGCACAAGCGGUGGAGCAUGUGGUUUAAUUCGAUGCAACGCGAAGAACCUUACCUGGUCUUGACAUCCACAGAACUUUCCAGAGAUGGAUUGGUGCCUUCGGGAACUGUGAGACAGGUGCUGCAUGGCUGUCGUCAGCUCGUGUUGUGAAAUGUUGGGUUAAGUCCCGCAACGAGCGCAACCCUUAUCCUUUGUUGCCAGCGGUCCGGCCGGGAACUCAAAGGAGACUGCCAGUGAUAAACUGGAGGAAGGUGGGGAUGACGUCAAGUCAUCAUGGCCCUUACGACCAGGGCUACACACGUGCUACAAUGGCAUAUACAAAGAGAAGCGACCUCGCGAGAGCAAGCGGACCUCAUAAAGUAUGUCGUAGUCCGGAUUGGAGUCUGCAACUCGACUCCAUGAAGUCGGAAUCGCUAGUAAUCGUAGAUCAGAAUGCUACGGUGAAUACGUUCCCGGGCCUUGUACACACCGCCCGUCACACCAUGGGAGUGGGUUGCAAAAGAAGUAGGUAGCUUAACCUUCGGGAGGGCGCUUACCACUUUGUGAUUCAUGACUGGGGUGAAGUCGUAACAAGGUAACCGUAGGGGAACCUGCGGUUGGAUCACCUCCUUACCUUAAAGAA
rnacentral:rRNA from 1 species